GCCCCUAUAGUCUAGUGGCCAAGGAUACCGCCCUUUCGCGGCGGAGACCCGGGUUCGACUCCCGGUGGGGGCA
rnacentral:tRNA from 1 species